CAGGUUGGUUGAAGGCAGAGUUGUUCACGCGUAUCAACAAAUUACAUACGGCAAGAAUUAUGGUUGGUGGAGAAGAAAUGAAACUCAAGAACAAAGGAAUUAGAAUUAGGACCUGUCUUAUUACUUUUAAUGCUGUGCGUUCCUGACCUACUGCACCCGGGAGGCUGCACUCAACGCACAAAACGCACUGCACGAGAAGCGCACACUUCCAGGGGUAAGUAUU